GACGAACGCUGGCGGCGUGCUUAACACAUGCAAGUCGAACGGAAAGGCCCUGCCUUUGUGGGGUGCUCGAGUGGCGAACGGGUGAGUAACACGUGAGUAACCUGCCCUUGACUUUGGGAUAACUUCAGGAAACUGGGGCUAAUACCGGAUAGGAGCUCCUGCUGCAUGGUGGGGGUUGGAAAGUUUCGGCGGUUGGGGAUGGACUCGCGGCUUAUCAGCUUGUUGGUGGGGUAGUGGCUUACCAAGGCUUUGACGGGUAGCCGGCCUGAGAGGGUGACCGGCCACAUUGGGACUGAGAUACGGCCCAGACUCCUACGGGGGGCAGCAGUGGGGAAUAUUGCACAAUGGGCGGAAGCCUGAUGCAGCAACGCCGCGUGCGGGAUGACGGCCUUCGGGUUGUAAACCGCUUUCGCCUGUGACGAAGCGUGAGUGACGGUAAUGGGUAAAGAAGCACCGGCUAACUACGUG
rnacentral:rRNA from 1 species